GACGAACGCUGGCGGCAUGCCUAACACAUGCAAGUCGAGCGAGUUGAUCCCUUCGGGGUGAAGCUAGCGGCGGACGGGUGAGUAACACGUGGGCAACCUGCCUCAUAGAGGGGAAUAGCCUCCCGAAAGGGAGAUUAAUACCGCAUAAGAUUGUAGCUUCGCAUGAAGUAGCAGUUAAAGGAGCAAUCCGCUAUGAGAUGGGCCCGCGGCGCAUUAGCUAGUUGGUGAGGUAACGGCUCACCAAGGCGACGAUGCGUAGCCGACCUGAGAGGGUGAUCGGCCACAUUGGGACUGAGACACGGCCCAGACUCCUACGGGAGGCAGCAGUGGGGAAUAUUGCACAAUGGGGGAAACCCUGAUGCAGCAAUGCCGCGUGAGUGAUGACGGCCUUCGGGUUGUAAAGCUCUGUCUUCAGGGACGAUAAUGACGGUACCUGAGGAGGAAGCCACGGCUAACUACGUGCCAGCCGCCGCGGUAA
rnacentral:rRNA from 1 species